CCGACCUUAGCUCAGUUGGUAGAGUGUGAGACUGUAAUGGUUACACUGGUCUAUCUCAAUGUCGCCUGUUCGAUCCAGGCAGGUCGGA